rnacentral:tRNA from 1 species
GCCCAGCUGGCUUAGUCAGUAGAGCAUGUGAUUCUUAAUCUUCAGGUUGUGAGUUCAAGCCCCAUACUGGGGG